rnacentral:rRNA from 1 species
GGAGGGUGCAAACGUUGUCCGGAAUUACUGGGCGUAAAGGGCGCGUAGGCGGACUUGUAAGUCAGGAGUGAAAACUCAGGGCUCAACCCUGAGCCUGCUUCUGAAACUGCGAAGUCUUGAGGACCGGAGAGGAAAGUGGAAUUCCUAGUGUAGCGGUGGAAUGCGUAGAUAUUAGGAAGAACACCAGUGGCGAAGGCGACUUUCUGGACGGUUACCUGACGCUGAGGCGCGAAAGCUAGGGGAGCAAACGAGGAUUAAGAUACCCUGGUAGUCCUAGCUGUAAACGAUGAGUGCUAGGUGGUGGUAGUUUCGAACGCUUUCACUGCCGAAGCUAACGCAUUAAGCACUCCGCCUGGGGAUACGGCCGCAAGGUUG